rnacentral:ribozyme from 1 species
UUCUCGUUCACCUUCUUCGUCCUCCCCGUCGACGACAUCGCCAACCGCAUCAUGAACAACAUGACGAUCUUCCUCAUCAACGUUGCGUUCAAGUUCUCCGUGUC